rnacentral:rRNA from 1 species
AGUGAACGCUGGCGGUAGGCCUAACACAUGCAAGUCGAACGGCAGCACAGGAGAGCUUGCUCUCUGGGUGGCGAGUGGCGGACGGGUGAGGAAUACAUCGGAAUCUACUCUGUCGUGGGGGAUAACGUAGGGAAACUUACGCUAAUACCGCAUACGACCUACGGGUGAAAGCAGGGGAUCUUCGGACCUUGCGCGAUUGAAUGAGCCGAUGUCGGAUUAGCUAGUUGGCGGGGUAAAGGCCCACCAAGGCGACGAUCCGUAGCUGGUCUGAGGGGAUGAUCGGCCACACUGGAGCUGGGACACGGUCCAGACUCCUACGGGAGGCAGCAGUGGGGAAUAUUGGACAAUGGGCGCAAGCCUGAUCCAGCCAUACCGCGUGGGUGAAGAAGGCCUUCGGGUUGUAAAGCCCUUUUGUUGGGAAAGAAAUCCAGCUGGUUAAUACCCGGUUGGGAUGACGGUACCCAAAGAAUAAGCACCGGCUAACUUCGUGCCAGCCGCCGCAGUAA